rnacentral:rRNA from 1 species
GACGAACGCUGGCGGCGUGCCUAAUACAUGCAAGUAGAACGCUGAAGGAGGAGCCUGCUUCUCUGGAUGAGUUGCGAACGGGUGAGUAACGCGUAGGUAACCUGCCUGGUAGCGGGGGAUAACUAUUGGAAACGAUAGCUAAUACCGCAUAAGAGUAGAUGUUGCAUGACAUUUGCUUAAAAGGUGCAAUUGCAUCACUACCAGAUGGACCUGCGUUGUAUUAGCUAGUUGGUGAGGUAACGGCUCACCAAGGCAACGAUACAUAGCCGACCUGAGAGGGUGAUCGGCCACACUGGGACUGAGACACGGCCCAGACUCCUACGGGAGGCAGCAGUAGGGAAUCUUCGGCAAUGGACGGAAGUCUGACCGAGCAACGCCGCGUGAGUGAAGAAGGUUUUCGGAUCGUAAAGCUCUGUUGUAAGAGAAGAACGAGUGUGAGAGUGGAAAGUUCACACUGUGACGGUAUCUUACCAGAAAGGGACGGCUAACUACGUG